rnacentral:rRNA from 1 species
UGGGGAAUAUUGGACAAUGGGCGCAAGCCUGAUCCAGCAAUGCCGCGUGUGUGAAGAAGGCCUUCGGGUUGUAAAGCACUUUUAUCAGGAGCGAAACGCUGUCGGCUAAUACCCGGCGGAACUGACGGUACCUGAGGAAUAAGCACCGGCUAACUUCGUGCCAGCAGCCGCGGUAAUACGAAGGGUGCAAGCGUUAAUCGGAAUUACUGGGCGUAAAGCGUGCGUAGGCGGUUUCUUAAGUCUGCUGUGAAAUCCCCGGGCUCAACCUGGGAAUGGCAGUGGAUACUGGGAGGCUAGAGUGUGUCAGAGGGUGGUGGAAUUCCCGGUGUAGCGGUGAAAUGCGUAGAGAUCGGGAGGAACAUCAGUGGCGAAGGCGGCCACCUGGGACAACACUGACGCUGAGGCACGAAAGCGUGGGGAGCAAACAGGAUUAGAUACCCUGGUAGUCCACGCCCUAAACGAUGCGAACUGGAUGUUGGUCUUAACUCGGAGAUCAGUGUCGAAGCUGACGCGUUAAGUUCGCCGCCUGGGGAGUACGGUCGCAAGACUGAAACUCAAAGGAAUUGACGGGGUCAUAGCUGUUUCCUG